GAUGAACGCUGGCGGCGUGCUUAACACAUGCAAGUCGAACGGAAAGGCCCAAGCUUGCUUGGGUACUCGAGUGGCGAACGGGUGAGUAACACGUGGGUGAUCUGCCCUGCACUUCGGGAUAAGCCUGGGAAACUGGGUCUAAUACCGGAUAGGACCACUUCUUGGAUGUUGUGGUGGAAAGUUUUUUCUGUGUGGGAUGAGCUCGCGGCCUAUCAGCUUGUUGGUGGGGUAAUGGCCUACCAAGGCGUCGACGGGUAGCCGGCCUGAGAGGGUGUACGGCCACAUUGGGACUGAGAUACGGCCCAGACUCCUACGGGAGGCAGCAGUGGGGAAUAUUGCACAAUGGGCGCAAGCCUGAUGCAGCGACGCCGCGUGGGGGAUGACGGCCUUCGGGUUGUAAACUCCUUUCGCUAGGGACGAAGCGUUUUGUGACGGUACCUGGAGAAGAAGCACCGGCUAACUACGUG
rnacentral:rRNA from 1 species